rnacentral:rRNA from 1 species
GACGAACCGUGCGAACGUUGUUCGGAAUCACUGGGCUUAAAGGGCGCGUAGGCGGGCUCACAAGUCAGGGGUGAAAUCCCACGGCUCAACCGUGGAAGUGCCUUUGAUACUGUGGGUCUUGAGGGAGGUAGGGGCGUGCGGAACUUCCGGUGGAGCGGUGAAAUGCGUAGAUAUCGGAAGGAACACCGGUGGCGAAAGCGGCGCGCUG